AUCACCUGGGAAACUUGUUAAAAUGCAAAUUCUAAUUCAGUGUGUCUGGAGUCUGUAUUUCUAACAAGCUCCCAGUUGAUUCUGA
rnacentral:pre_miRNA from 1 species